AACGAACGCUAUCGGUAUGCUUAACACAUGCAAGUCGGACGGACUAAUUAGGGCUUGCUCCAAUUAGUUAGUGGCAGACGGGUGAGUAACACGUGGGAAUCUGCCCAUCAGUAAGGAAUAAGUUUUAGAAAUAAAAGCUAAUACCGUAUAUUCUCUACAGAGGAAAGAUUUAUCGCUGAUGGAUGAGCCCGCGUCAGAUUGGAUAGUUGGUGACGUAACGGCUCACCAAGCCGACGAUCUGUAGCUGGUCUGAGAGGAUGAUCACCCACCCUGGGACUGAGCCACAGCCCAGCCUCCUACAGGAGGCAGAAGUGGCGAAUAUUCGACAAUGUGCGAAAGCCUGAUCCCACAAUACCGAGUGAGUGAUAAAGGCCCUAGGAUUAUAAAUCUCUUUUAGCAAGCAAGAUAAUAACGUUACUUGCACAAAAAGCCCCGGCUAACUCCGUG
rnacentral:rRNA from 1 species